rnacentral:rRNA from 1 species
UACAGAGGGGGCAAGCGUUGUUCGGAAUUACUGGGCGUAAAGGGCGCGUAGGCGGCCUGCUAAGUCGAACGUGAAAAUCCCCCGGGCUCAACCCGGGAACUGCGUCCGAUACUGGAAGGCUUGAAUCCGGGAGAGGGAUGCGGAAUUCCAGGUGUAGCGGUGAAAUGCGUAGAUAUCUGGAGGAACACCGGUGGCGAAGGCGGCAUCCUGGACCGGUAUUGACGCUGAGGCGCGAAAGCCAGGGGGAGCAAACGGG